CGGAGCUGCUGCCCAACCCCUGCCCCGAUGAACCUAUGCUCCUGGACCCCCCAGAGGCCAACGCCAGGACCCAGUGAGGCUCCUGGCUCCCAGCUGUUCCAGAGAAGGACGAACCCCAACAGUGGAUGUGUACAGAUGCAAAUAGAGGGGAAGUUGGUGAAAUGAGACAUACAAGACAGCUGUUGCUGAUGACAGGCUGUGACACCCAUAGUGGAGAGUCUGAGGUCAUUGGAAAAACUCCCUGGCUCAGGUCCAAAGACAGAGGUGGCUGAGGUCAGGUGAGCAGCAGAGACAAGGUCUGCGAGUGUGUAGGCAUCAAACCAUAGGACAACUCCAUAGUCAAGAGAUGGGACCUGCAUGCAGAGUGGUCCAAGAGCAGAGCUGAGGUAGCAGCAGAAAACUACAUUUCCAUCCAACCAAAUGGGACCAUCAGCAUGAAAUGGGCAGAAUGAACACAAAUGGGAGAGCAAUGAAUUCAUACAGUGCCCAGCUGGCAAGAGCCUUCCUCACCUUCAGAUGGCACAGCCUGGGCAGUGAGGAUGAAAGGAUCGUAGUAGCUGUACAUCGCUUUCUUCCAUACCACGGAC